UGGGGAAUAUUGGACAAUGGGCGCAAGCCUGAUCCAGCCAUGCCGCGUGUGUGAAGAAGGCCUUUUGGUUGUAAAGCACUUUAAGCGAGGAGGAGGCUACUUGGAUUAAUACUCUAGGAUAGUGGACGUUACUCGCAGAAUAAGCACCGGCUAACUCUGUGCCAGCAGCCGCGGUAAUACAGAGGGUGCGAGCGUUAAUCGGAUUUACUGGGCGUAAAGCGUGCGUAGGCGGCUUCUUAAGUCGGAUGUGAAAUCCCUGAGCUUAACUUAGGAAUUGCAUUCGAUACUGGGAAGCUAGAGUAUGGGAGAGGAUGGUAGAAUUCCAGGGGUAGCGGUGAAAUGCGUAGAGAUCUGGAGGAAUACCGAUGGCGAAGGCAGCCAUCUGGCCUAAUACUGACGCUGAGGUACGAAAGCAUGGGGAGCAAACAGG
rnacentral:rRNA from 3 species